rnacentral:tRNA from 1 species
GGGUUGGUAGCUCAGCCAGGUAGAGCAGCGGCCUUUUAAGCCGUUGGUCCAGGGUUCGAAUCCCUGCCAACCCACCA